UGCGUGCCGUCGUGGUCUUCUUCGUUCAGAUAGACGGCAAGGAGGCGGAGGAGGAAGCCUCUCCCGAGCUCCUCUGCGUGGAGUCCGCGACCGAGCCCCUCUCCAUUAUCCUCUUGCUUGAGGCCUCCAAAGUCGCCACAGCCCAAUCCGCCCGCCUGCUUCGUCCUCCCCAAUCCCCUCCUUGUGCGCACCACACUGCCGCCGCGAGGACCGAUUGGAGCUGACUGGAGCGGAGCAGGCCAGUGCCGUGGGUCGGGUCGUCGGCGGGAGAGCAGCUGCGUUGCAUCUCUCCCUCACUUGCUCUGGGAGGUCACCAGGAGGGUUGCGGCAUCUCCAUCCCCGGAGGAUUACAGUCUACCUCUCGCAGGUUGUUGUGCCUCUCCCUCCUCCAGGCUUCACCCCAAUGUUUGUCUUGUCUUCUAUCCUGAUGUUGCUGCGUGUAUGGCCGCUCCUCUUCAUCUCCCCUUUCCAUAAUCGACCUUGUCAUUGCAACCGUUUGAAGUUAUAUGAACUCUUUAUUUUCUUCCCCUGCCUUACACUGAACUACACAUGCAGAAAUUGCUUUAGUUAUAAACUAUGCAGAUUCCAUGUAUAUAUGCCUACAAGGUGUUUGACAAUAUUCCUAGCAGGUUGUUCCCAUAUUGUGUUUCUUAUUCUUUUGAUUUUUUAUGUUGCGAGGAGAUAAAGAAUCAAAACUGAGUUGUUUGGUCAACCAACUUAAGUACUGGUUAGUAAAUCUAUGGGCCUAUAUUUUGCCUUUGAUUUUAGUUAGAGUAGAGUUACAUCACUCCAUUGAGAUAUUUGUUGUAUGUUGUCUGACACAUUGUACCUGUCUCGUCCUCGCCGCUCAGCCCGAGGAGCACACGCUCCUUCUGUGCUCGGCACCAGCGACUUCGCGAUCUUCCUCGAUGCAACGCAAGAAGAGCACACUCCCGAGAGGGGCAUCCAUGGCGCUGGUUCCGUCGACCUGUUCCCAGCUAUUCUGGUCCUCCCCAUUGCCGUCGCCCUGUUUGUCCCUCUCCAUGAGCUCGCGCCACUAAGCAGCCGCGACACCACAUGAAACCGUCAGGGUGUGUUCGGUGUGCUCCUGGUGGCUGCAGAACUAUGUGUACCCGAGAGUUGUCCUUGGACGUUGACUGGGUCACGACAACACUCUUUGGUUUGCAUGAAUGGAAAUAUGGAACAUGUAGAUACAGUGCGGAAAUCUGGAAGAUGAUGCUCAUGUGCUUUUGCCUUCUAUAUCUGAGGGUAAGAACUAAAGAGAAGAGUCAAUGUUGUUGUUGAGGAUCUCAGUGGUCCCUGGAUUUGGUGUUGUUGAGAUAAAGAGAAGGAUCUGAAGAUACAACCCCUUCUAAUAGUUUAUUGUCUGCAGGGCAUGGUUUGGCUGAUUUGAUAAUGCCCAUUCGAUCCUUCUUCUAUAUGUAAAUUGCUAAAUUAGGUUUGGGUGAUCUGAGAAUGGCCAUUUGGUCCUUCUGCAAGUAAAUGGGCUGAGUUAGGUAAGCUUCAGUAUUAAUCUCUGUUUCUUUCAUGUUUUUCUCCCACUCGAUAUUGUGCCUCUUUUCAUGCUACAACAUUUAUGCAUGUUUCGUUUGGUAAAUAUCCCGCUCCUGUCUGUUGUUUAUUUGGGUAAAUAUCCCGUGGCGAUCACCUUUUCCUUUGAAAAUAUGUGAAAGCCACAUAUAGAAAUUUCGAAAAAAUCUACCCAGCACACAGUAUGUUGUGAGGUGGUGUUUAACAGAAACGAAUACUAACAAAUAGCAAAAGAACUAUUCAUGCUGAUUUUCUUGUAGCUUCCAAAUGCAAUUCAGUAUGAACUUGCGCCAUGUAAUGGUUUUCGUCUUGCCGGUAAUUUUCGGUCCAGUGUUCCGAUUCAGCUCGGGGAUUUUACAUGUUCUUCGGAAUAUAUAUGUACAUUCGCUAGCAAAUAUAACCUACACCGAAUCCUUUAUUUUGGGUCAUGGUUGCAGUCAGUAUGGAUGUGCGGAAUAUAUUAUUUUAUUCUUCAAGUCAAGAUAAUUCUCAUGUAGUAUGGCUUCUAAUUCAGUUAACACUUGCUGAUGCUUUGCUCCGUUGUAUCAGCCAGCACCUCCUAAUGCUUUGAUCUGCAAUCUCGGUUAACGCUUUGCUGCUGUGCUAACUUCAGCUAACACUAUACUGUUUAAUCUCACUUCACCUUUGCUCCAAAUUCUGCACAAGAAAAGGAACAGUCACUGCUUGCCGUUUCGGCUAGCGUUUGGUACCACCUUGGUCUGCAAUCAAUGGUUUUAGUAAAACUUUCUUGUCGGUCCUGUUUUUUAGCUGCAUCCUGUGACUGUGCAGGAGAUUGAGUGCAUUGUAUGUUGCUUCUAUGUAUCUUCUCUUAAUUAUAUACAAUGCCUAUGUUUAGCUGAUGUUCAAAUUGGCAAAUUCAUUUUGUUACUAUAGUUUCACAUGGUCUAAGAGUAGUUUGUAUUGCUAGCCUAGCUUUUAUAGUUGUAUCUAUCCAAACCAUUGGCAUGCUACUGCUGGUUCAGUUGCUGCUCCAUCUAAAUUCACGUUACAGUUAGUCGUAUUCUUCGUCAAUGAGAUGAUCUUCUUGUAUUCAACAAUUUCUUUAACACUCGUGCUUCCUUCCAUUGUUUAUGCCAGGCUUACCCAUUAUUCACUUUGUACCAGCAUCUUCAUGGAGUCUCUCUCAGUUCGGAUCCACUCUCUGCUAAUCAUUCAUGUCUAUGGUAGACCAUGCUUUCUAUCAGUGAAAUAUCCAGAUAUUGAUUCCUUUUAUUUAUCAUGUCCCCGAGAAAAUGCUGCAGCGAUGCAAGCUGUCAAGUAUAUGAAUCUUUCAUGCAGAAGAUACUUAAAUAUCAUAGCUAAGACGAACUUAGUAAGAAGAAAUAAUCUGAGCAGUGUCGUCUCAUACAAGUGAAUGAGGACAACAAGACUAAAGUGGCUGGGAUGAUUUCAUAGGAGGAGCCAAACAACUACAUGAGCCUAUUUCAGCAUGACUUGAACAGGUAAGCUCUUCCAGCUGGAUCUACUAGAUUAGUCUACACAGUAAACAGAACUCUAAUCCAUUAGAAAAUUUGGCUGCCAGUACUACAAGACAAAACAACCAGACUAUGCUUUGUCUUUCAGAUUCACUCUGAACUCUGAAAACAAGGCCAGAUAAUAAGAAUGCUCCUGAAACAUCUCUCUCACCCGCCACCGGUCCGAAACCCCCUGGACCUCAGUAUGCGUGCACAGAUCAUAUGCUCACGUGCUAACUGAAGAUUAGCGGAUGAGGAAGUUCUCUGUUUCUCUUUGCAGGGUAGGAUGGUGGCAAGAGGAUGGGCCUGAAAUUCGACCGGGUUAAGUAUUGGCUGUCUGUUGGGGGACAACCAUCAGAUCCUUGGUCUACUAGGUUAUCUUUGGCUGUCCAUUGGGGGAUAACUGCAUUAACGUCAUGCACGCACACUUCUGUUUUGUAAAUAUACUUCAUGAAGGUUAUCUUUUGUCUAAUCGGUUAAUUUUUAUCAGUCCCUUACCUUUUCUUUUAUCAUUGGAUUUCUUUUUCGCCUUUUUUUUGCCGCCUCCCCCCUUGGUUGUUAGUUUUAUCUCUAUCGCAUUUCCCACAUUUCUUCUUCAAGUUUCAAAUUAUUCUUGCUUUCUUUUAUGUUUUUUGGUUCGACUUCAUUUUCGGUGUAGUCCUCUUUUCUCCAUUAUCCUCCUUGGUUUCAUAUCAGUCCUCACUUUUUAUCAGUUUGUUCCUAUUUUUUCUUCUGAAUUUUGAUUUCUUCUUUGCUUUCUUUACUUUUUUUACUAUGAUUAUGUCCUCUCAUUUAUUUCCCUCUUCUUUCUGGUGGGACUUUGUAUAAUCUACAGAUAUCACUUUACAAGCCAGAUAAAUAUCACUUCGGAAUUUGGUUGCCAGUGGAGCUACCAAAUAUGAAUCAACGAUUAAGGAGAAAGCAAUGGCAACAGAAGCCACUUUUGUCUAACAAAAACCACUUCUGUAUAACCAAAAUGAAUAGCUGGUUGUAUAUAAGUUAUGGUACUCAAAUAAUGAUUUCGUAUACUCUCUAAGCUUGAUAGAAAGUGUUUGACAUAAUGAUUUCAUAUACUCUCUAACAUAUUUGGUACACUUGGUUUAAUGCUUUAUUUAUAGUUUCAUGUGAUUUAACCUAA